GGCUCAGAUUGAACGCUGGCGGCAGGCUUAACACAUGCAAGUCGAGCGGGGAAAGGUAGCUUGCUACCUGACCUAGCGGCGGACGGGUGAGUAAUGCUUAGGAAUCUGCCUAUUAGUGGGGGACAACAUUCCGAAAGGAAUGCUAAUACCGCAUACGCCCUACGGGGGAAAGCAGGGGAUCUUCGGACCUUGCGCUAAUAGAUGAGCCUAAGUCAGAUUAGCUAGUUGGUGGGGUAAAGGCCUACCAAGGCGACGAUCUGUAGCGGGUCUGAGAGGAUGAUCCGCCACACUGGGACUGAGACACGGCCCAGACUCCUACGGGAGGCAGCAGUGGGGAAUAUUGGACAAUGGGCGAAAGCCUGAUCCAGCCAUGCCGCGUGUGUGAAGAAGGCCUUUUGGUUGUAAAGCACUUUAAGCGAGGAGGAGGCUACUUAGAUUAAUACUCUAGGAUAGUGGACGUUACUCGCAGAAUAAGCACCGGCUAACUCUGUGCCAGCAGCCGCGGUAAUACAGAGGGUGCGAGCGUUAAUCGGAUUUACUGGGCGUAAAGCGUGCGUAGGCGGCUUUUUAAGUCGGAUGUGAAAUCCCUGAGCUUAACUUAGGAAUUGCAUUCGAUACUGGGAAGCUAGAGUAUGGGAGAGGAUGGUAGAAUUCCAGGUGUAGCGGUGAAAUGCGUAGAGAUCUGGAGGAAUACCGAUGGCGAAGGCAGCCAUCUGGCCUAAUACUGACGCUGAGGUACGAAAGCAUGGGGAGCAAACAGGAUUAGAUACCCUGGUAGUCCAUGCCGUAAACGAUGUCUACUAGCCGUUGGGGCCUUUGAGGCUUUAGUGGCGCAGCUAACGCGAUAAGUAGACCGCCUGGGGAGUACGGUCGCAAGACUAAAACUCAAAUGAAUUGACGGGGGCCCGCACAAGCGGUGGAGCAUGUGGUUUAAUUCGAUGCAACGCGAAGAACCUUACCUGGUCUUGACAUAGUAAGAACUUUCCAGAGAUGGAUUGGUGCCUUCGGGAACUUACAUACAGGUGCUGCAUGGCUGUCGUCAGCCCGUGUCGUGAGAUGUUGGGUUAAGUCCCGCAACGAGCGCAACCCUUUUCCUUAUUUGCCAGCGGGUUAAGCCGGGAACUUUAAGGAUACUGCCAGUGACAAACUGGAGGAAGGCGGGGACGACGUCAAGUCAUCAUGGCCCUUACGACCAGGGCUACACACGUGCUACAAUGGUCGGUACAAAGGGUUGCUACCUAGCGAUAGGAUGCUAAUCUCAAAAAGCCGAUCGUAGUCCGGAUUGGAGUCUGCAACUCGACUCCAUGAAGUCGGAAUCGCUAGUAAUCGCGGAUCAGAAUGCCGCGGUGAAUACGUUCCCGGGCCUUGUACACACCGCCCGUCACACCAUGGGAAUUUGUUGCACCAGAAGUAGGUAGUCUAACCGCAAGGAGGACGCUUACCACGGUGUGGCCGAUG
rnacentral:rRNA from 1 species